rnacentral:rRNA from 1 species
GGCGGCACGCCUAACACAUGCAAGUCGAGCGAAGAACUAGUUUACUAGUUACUGAGCGGCGAACGGGUGAGUAAUACUUGGAUAAUCUGCCACUAGGAUUGGGAUAACCUCAGGAAACUGAGACUAAUACCAAAUAUGACCACAGUCUUUACGGAGACAGGGGUAAAAUGUUUUUCGCCUAGUGAUGAGUCCAAGUCGCAUCAGGUUGUUGGUAAGGUAAUGGCUUACCAAGCCUAUGACGCGUAGCAGGUCUUAGCGGAUGAUCUGCCACAUGGGGACUGAGAUACGGCCCUGACUCCUACGGGAGGCAGCAGUGAGGAAUAUUGGACAAUGGACGAAAGUCUGAUCCAGCGAUGCCGCGUGAAGGAUGAAGGCCUUAGGGUUGUAAACUUCUGUCAGCAGGGAAGAUAAUGACGGUACCUGCAGAGGAAGCCCCGGCUAACUCCGUGCCAGCAGCCGCGGUAAUACGGAGGGGGCAAACGUUAUUCGGAUUUACUGGGCGUAAAGGGUUCGUAGGCGGUUUUUUAAGUUAGAUGUGAAAGCUUGAAGCUUAACUUCAAAAUAGCAUCUAAAACUGAAUUACUAGAUUCUUGGAGAGGUAGAUGGAAUUACCGGUGUAGCGGUGAAAUGCGUAGAUAUCGGUAGGAACACCAGUGGCGAAAGCGAUCUACUGGAC